AAAUUAUAGGGAUGGAAUGCUAUUAUCAGUUGAGUUUGUAAACGCAAAAAUGACGUCUUUAAACUGAUACGACGACGCUACCUUUUCUAAUCCGACGGAAAGAAAACGACCAGAUAGCGACACAAGAAUGAGAAUGAGAGAGAGAGAGAGAUGUACUCGAAGAAGGCCCUGUGGGCGGAGAGAGUAACGGUGAAGGCGUCGCCGGGAUCGGAGACCCAACAGGAAUCGGCGGUGACGGAGGUCCAGUAACUCUGCUCAACUCGCUUAAUGGGCAGAGGCUGUAUCGGGAGGUCACGCUUGCCCUGAAAACCGGGAUCGGUGGAACUUAAGGUUCCGUCACGCUUAAUGAACGAGAACGCCCGAGCCGAGUUCUCGUUCCGCCGCGUCCGCGGCCUCCGAAUCAUUUUCAAGUUCCACCGAUCCGUCGCUGAGUUCGACUCCACCAUCCAGCUCUUUGGCCAGACCCAGUCCCUUCCUGAGCUCCAAGUGAUUCCGACUUUGUUUCAACAUUCGCUAAAAGAGCCAGAAGAUGAAACAGUAGCGAAUUUGGAUCAUAUAUUUGGCUUAGAGCCUUUGAAGAUAACUAGCCCCUCAUCCAAUGCCAAUGAUGUCGCACUUGCGCUUCGGGUCUUGGAAGGUUGCUGUCUUCUCCAUAGUGGGAGCACAGUUUUGGCCUAUCAUCAUAACGCAAUCCAGCUAUUGAGGUUUCAAGCUCUGCUGCAUUUUCAUCCGUCUACUGAAGGGUGGACCUGUCAUAACCACAGGCAAUCGUACCUGUCAUUAAAUAGGAGUUUAAAUGGAGAGGAGACUUAAAAAUGAAAUGAAUGAAGAAAUGGGAGCACAGACUAUAUUUGCAUCUUUUGGAUGACCCACUUGGCAUUUUAUUCAUCAAGUUUUAUUGAACUCGUGGAGCACUUGAGCAAGGCGCAUGCUUAGAUGCUUUAAUCUCUAUAAUGUUGGAUUCAUCAGACAAUCAAAUGGAUUUCAAGGCAUGUGAUGGUAUUGAGGAAGUUGCAGAACUCAUAAGAGACAAACAAUCGGAUGAAAAUCUCAGUGGAGGCCUAGGCAGUAUGGGCUCGAGAUUUGGGCUGGGUGGGGCACGUUGCAUGAUGGCUGGCCACCGAAAACCAAAGAAGAGGGGUGGACUUCUAUGAGAGAGAGAGAGAGAGAGAGAGAGAGGAAAGGAUAGAGAGUUCGUCAAGAUAAUAAAGCUUCAGACACGCAACGUACUGAUGGGAAAAGAAGGUGGCAGACCUUGGGCAGAGAAGAUAGGCAGCACUGCAAAGAAAAAAAAGAAAAAAAAAAGGGUAAUAAAAGGGUGUGCCGGAGACGUAAGUAUAUCAUUACCCUCAUGAGUUUCUUUAAAAAUUUUAUACGCAUUUAUUUUUGUA